rnacentral:rRNA from 1 species
AGUGAACGCUGGCGGCGUGCUUAACACAUGCAAGUCGAACGAGAACGGGCUAUAGCUUGCUAUAGUUGUCAGCUAAGUGGCGCACGGGUGAGUAAUGUAUAGGUAAUAUGCCUCUUACUAAGGGAUAACAAAUGGAAACGUUUGCUAAUACCUUAUACUCCUUAUUAACAGAAGUUAAUAAGGGAAAGAUUUAUUGGUAAGAGAUUAGCCUGUAUUGUAUCAGUUAGUUGGUGGGGUAAUGGCUUACCAAGACUAUGACACAUAACUGGUUUGGGAGGAUGAUCAGUCACACUGGAACUGAGACACGGUCCAGACUCCUACGGGAGGCAGCAGUGGGGAAUAUUGCACAAUGGACGAAAGUCUGAUGCAGCAACGCCGCGUGGAGGAUGACACAUUUCGGUGCGUAAACUCCUUUUAUAUGAGAAGAUGAUGACGGUAUUAUAUGAAUAAGCACCGGCUAACUCCGUGCCAGCAGCCGCGGUAA